AACGUAGGAGACAAACGUUAUCCGGAGUUACUGGGCGUAAAGGGCGUGUAGGCGGUUUCGUAAGUCUGGCGUGAAAUUUCUCGGCUUAACCGAGGCAGGUCGUCGGAUACUGCGGAACUAGAGGACGGUAGAGGCGUGUGGAAUUCCGGGUGUAGUGGUGAAAUUCGUAGAUAUUCGGAAGAACACCAGUGGCGAAGGCGACUCGCUGGACAGACAUUGAUGCGCGACAGCAUGGGGAGCAAACAGG
rnacentral:rRNA from 1 species